CUCAGGCCGAAAACAUAAACAUAACGGGGCGAAGAUAUCAGCAAGAGAAACGAAGGUCGAAAAGAGAAGAACUCGCGGCGACAGAGAGUUUUUCCGGCGAGACUGGAAGACGGAGAGGGAGAGAGAGAGAGAGACAGAGAGUAGAGCUUCUAGGGUUUUGGUCUAGAUUUUUCUUCUUCUACAUCGAUCUGUUCUUGUUCUUGGGAAAGUUCAAUCCCCGCACGUUCAUUCGGACUCGUCCCAGCUCUAUUCGAGGGUUCAUAAUCCUUCGCGCUAGGUUUCGCAAUUAUCUUGGUUGUUGAAUCCAGCCGGUGUGACCAUACGAGGAGUUUGGAGGUGAGUUUCGAAGCAUGAGCAUCGACAGCCCAGGUGGAGGGGAGAAUUAGGGUUGCGUAGAGUAGAGAGAAACAGGCGGUAUUUCCAUGGGCGAUGGGGGUGUCGCAUGCAUGCCUUUGCAGCAUAUCAUGGAGAAACUUCCAAUUGCAGAGAAGACGCUUUGCGGAGGCAAUAGUAGCACGAAUACUGAUACAACGAACAAUGGCCUCGCAUCCAAGUCAACUAAGACCCCUGAGUCUAAGCCAACCAAGAAGAAGAAGAUUGUUAAAGUGAUACGUAAAGUGGUCGUGAGGAAGCCCAAGCAGCCGAAACAACAGCAACAGCAACCGCCACAGCAGCCACUGCAACCACAGCUGCAGCCAGAGCAGAAGCAGCUGCAGCCGGUUCAGUCUCCAGCAGAAUCUCAGCAGCAGAAAGGGCAGCAGCAGGAGCAGGACAAGAAAAGUCUGCUCGGACUUGAACUGGGAGGAAAUAGUAGUAGCAGAGAAUUGGAAAAUAGUGGAGACUGCUGGCUUAAGGAUGAAGUAGAAGAGGGUGAAUUGGGUACAAUAAAGUCUCCGGGGUAUUUGGAGAAUGGUGAAAUUGCGCCUGAAAGGUCACCCCAGAGGGAUGAGAUAGAGAAGGGAGAGAAUGUUGGCGAGAGUUGGAAGAAAGAAGAAACAGCUAAUGAAGAUUUCUUUUCCUCAAAAUAUCAUAAAGGGAGGGAUUUACCUGCGAAUAAUAACAGGAGAGGAGAUAAAGAGAAGAGGGAAUCCAGAUCAUGGAGAGAUCCCUGCAAUGAAAUUGAGAAGGGAGAGUUCAUUCCUGACAGAUGGCAUAAAGCCGAUGCAGUAAGAGAUGAUCAUAAUUACAUAAAACCUCGCAGGAAUGAAUUAGACAGAGAGAAGGGCUGGAAAUAUGAUUACGAACGUACCUCACCCCCACCCAGUGGAAGGUUUUCUAAUGAGGAUAUUUACCGGCGGAGGGAGUUCAAAAGCGGGCAGGAUAGAACUUUGAGGAUCAGUUCUAAAAUUGUAGAUGAAGAAAGCUUACAUAAGAGUGAGUACAACAAGCCCAAGAACCAUUCGAAAGAGCAUUCUUCUUUGGCCAAUAAACUGAAGCGACAUGGAACUGAUACGGACAGUAGUGAACGUAAAUACUGCUAUGGGGAUAAUGGAGAUCAUGGUAGCUCUAAAAGUAGAAAGCUUUCAGAUGAUACUCCCCGCCCUCUUCACUCAGACAACUAUUCACGACAUUUUGUGGAGAGAUCUUACAGAGAUUCCUCUUCCUCGGGAAUGGACAAGUAUCCUGAUAGGAAUCAUGACUCAUCUUUGCUUCCCAGGGUUGUUUAUGACAGGCAUGGACACAGCCCCGGACGAUCUGAUUGGUCGCCACAUGGUCGGUCUAGGUACCAUGAACUCAGGGAUAGAAGUUCAGUCCGUCGGGAGAGAUCACCAUAUAAUCGAGAGAGAUCACCUUACACUUACGAAAAGUUUUCAUAUGUUCGUAAAAGGUCUCCACAUGAACGCAGCCGGCGCCAUGAUUAUAGAAGAAGCCCAAGCUACUCCGAGUGGUCACCUCAUGACCGUGCUAAGCCUAGUGAUCACAGAGACCGUUCUCCUAACUAUUUGGAAGAUACCCAAAUUGAUCGGAAUAAGCGUGAUAGCCAUAGAGAAGUAAGCAGAAAACGUGGAGGGAGGGAGAGGAAGGAUUCUCAGAGUAGUAAGAAGGAACAAGAGAAUAAUCUCAGGCAAAAGGAUUCUAAUGAAAAAGUUUUGUCAUCAUCAACUAAAGAAUUGCAGGACAAAAACAGCAUUUACAAUAAGAAUCCUGGGGACAAGAAAAGUUCUAUCUGUGAUCCAUCCCAAGAAAUAGAAAACCCUAGUGUAAGCACAGACGGAAAAGAGUCUCUGCAAGCUGAUGAUUCCCAUGUGGAAGAGUUGCCUUCAAUGGAGGAAGAUAUGGACAUAUGUGAUACGCCACCUCAUAUCCCCGUGGCUGAUUCAUCAUCUGGAAAAUGGUUUUAUCUUGAUUAUUAUGGCACAGAGCAUGGGCCUGCAAAGUUAUCCGAGCUUAAAGCACUUAUGGAGCAGGGAAUGAUUUUCUCAGACCAUAUGAUUAAACAUUCAGACAGUAACAGGUGGGUAACCAUUGAAAAUGCAACUUCACCUGUAGUCUCAGUGAAUUUUCCAUCCAUUGUGUCAGAUGCAGUGACACAGCUUGUCAAUCCUCCAGAAGCGCCUGGUAAUCUAUUAGAAGAUGCUGCAGACACUGCCGGACCAGAUUGUAUAGACAAGGAGGUUGGUGCUUCUUUACCAACAUCGGUUUCUGUGCCAGAUGCUGAUGGAUCACUGAUAGAGCCUCGAGAAGAAUUUCAGAUAGACAAGAGGGUUACAGGUCUCUUAGAGGGUUAUACUAUAAUUCCUGGCAGAGAGCUUGAGACUCUUGGAGAAGCUCUGCAUGUUAAAGUCGAGCUCGAAGACACCGAACGAUUUGUGACAUCUGAAGAUAUCACCUGGCGCCUUUCUCAAAUUGCAAAUGAGGAUAUUUUCGUGGAUGCUGAGUUGUCAAGACACUCUGCACUCAAGGCAGGGGAGGCUGAAGAAAUCAAGUUAGACAAUGAUAAUGGUUUCGACAAUGAGAUAGAAAGCUGGUUUUCAGGUCGUUGGUCUUGCAAAGGUGGGGACUGGAUUAGAAAUGAAGAAGCUUCUCAAGAUAGACACUAUAGAAAGAAAAUUGUUCUCAAUGAUGGUUUCCCAUUAUGCCAGAUGCAAAAGUCUUGUUACGAGGACCCUCGGUGCCAUCAUAAGGAUUUGUAUUAUCCUUUAAGUAACUUUAGGCUUGAACUUCCUCCUUGGGCCUUUUCUAAUGUGGAUGAGAGGAAUCAGGCAAGAGGAGUGAAGGCAAGUAUGCUUUCGGUGGUCAGGCUAAAUGCAUUGGUGGUUAAUGACCAAGGUUCAUCUGUUUCUGAUUCCCGCACAAAAGUUCGAGGGAGGGAGAAGUACCCUACAAGGUCUGCUCGACCAUCCCCAGCAACUAGUGAUUCGAAGAGAACAUCAGCUGAAAGUCAUUCUCAUUCGAGAACUUGCAAUGGCCAAGACUCCCAGGACUCUGGCACAUCUAUCACCCCUAAGGACCGUCUGUGUACAAUUGAUGAUUUGCAAUUGCAUUUGGGUGAUUGGUUCUACAUUGAUGGGACUGGGCAUGAACAAGGACCUCUGUCAUUUCCGGAGCUUCAGAUCUUGGUGGAUAGAGGUAUCAUACAGAAUCGUAGUAGUGUUUUCAGAAAAUCUGAUAAGAUCUGGGUCCCUGUUACUUCGAUUUUAAGAACCCCUGAAACAACUGGCAAGAAUCAUGGAAAGAACCAAGCUUCAUCUUUGAGUGAACAAAGCCUUGUCUCAGAUUCAGAGGAUGCAAAGCUAUCUGAUAAAGAAACAAGUUCAGGCUCGUUUCAUAGUAUGCAUCCUCAGUUCCUUGGUUAUACGAGUGGAAAGCUCCACACAUUGGUUAUGAAAACGUUUAAGAGCCGGGAGUUUGCUGCUGCAAUAAAUGAAGUUUUAGAUCCUUGGAUCAAUGCAAGACAGCCAAAGAAAGAGAGCGAAAAGUACAUGUAUCAAUCUUCAGAAGUUGAUUUACGUUAUGCUAAAAGACCUCGGUUGAUGGCUGAUGAGAGUGAACAAGAUUCUGAAGGGGAAGAUGCACAGAUCUUUCAGGAGGAAACGACGUUUGAGGAUUUAUAUGGAGAUGCUAUCUUCCCUGUGGAAGAAAAUGUAUCUGUUGAUACCGAGGGGGUUACUUGGGGUCGGUUGGCUGGUCCUGCAUUACUGCGGGUUUUUCAUUUCUUGAGAUCUGAUGUAGCAUCCUUUGCACGAGCUUCCCUCACUUGUAAACACUGGAAGGUUGCUGCAAAUUUCUACAAGAAUAUAUCAAGACGGGUAGAUUUAUCUUCUUUGGGUCCCAACUGCACUGAUUCAAAGCUCUGGAGCAUCAUGAACACUUAUAACAAAGACAAGAUACGUUCUAUAGCUCUGGUCGGUUGUACAAAUGUGGCCGCUGCCAUGCUCAAGGAAAUUCUCCGUGUAUUUCCGUGUGUGUCUUCCGUAGACAUCACAGGCUGCUCGCAGUUUGCGGAUUUAACACUCAUCUAUGAAAAUAUAAACUGGUUCAGAGGCCGAUUUCCUCGUUCGGCCGGACCACGUUCCAGGAUAAGGAGUCUGAAACAGGUUACUGAUGCUGCUAAAUCAAAGGGUUUAAGGGGUGAUAUGGAUGAUUUUGGUAACCUCAAGGAUUACUUCGAUAGAGUGGAUAAGCGAGACUCAGCUAACCAGUUAUUCCGGCGGAGCUUAUACAAACGGUCGAAAUUGUAUGAUGCGAGGAGAUCUUCGGCCAUAGUAUCAAGGGACGCUCGUAUCAGGCGAUGGGCCAUUAAAAAGUCUGAAUAUGGAUACAAGCGAGUGGAGGAAUUCCUUGCCUCAAGCCUAAGAGACGUCAUGAAACUGAAUACUUUUGAUUUCUUUGUUCGGAAGGUUUCUCAAAUCGAGGAAAAAAUGAAGAAUGGUUAUUACAUUAGUCAUGGUUUGAGGUCUGUCAAGGAGGAUAUCAGUCGGAUGUGCAGGGAAGCAAUAAAAAUAAAGAAUCGAGGUGGUUCUAGAGACAUGAAUCGAGUCAUUGCAUUGUUUAUUCAACUUGCCACACGUUUGGAGGAGGUAUCCAAGGUUACCUCUUCAUACGAAAGAGAUGAGCUAAUGAAGUCAUGGCAAGAUGGUUCCGGUUUCUCGUCAGCCUCUAAGUGCAUCAAGAAGUUGAGCAAGGCAGCAAUUGAGAAGAAGCAUAUGAGCAGGACUAAUGGCACAUCCGUUGUAAAUAGCGGUUCUGAGUAUGGAGAAUAUGCAUCUGAUCGAGAAAUCAGAAGGCGUUUGUCUAAAUUGAAUCGCCAGUCCUUUGGUUCGGGAAGUGAAACAUCUUCAGAACUGUCUGACGAUGGCAAGAGUGACAGUGACAGCUCAACCUCAGCUACAGAAAGCGAUUCAGAUUUCCGUUCAGAAUGCCGGUCUGGGGACUUAGGUGCAGAUGGAUACUUUACAGCGGAUGAAACAUUUGAUUCUACAACUGAUGAGCGCGAAUGGGGUGCACGCAUGACUAAAGCUAGUUUGGUGCCACCAGUGACUAGGAAAUAUGAAGUUAUUGACAAGUAUGUCGUUGUUGCGGAUGAGGAAGAGGUCCAACGAAAGAUGAGGGUAUCUCUGCCGGAGGACUAUGAAGAGAAGCUCAAUGCCCAAAGAAAUGGCGCUGAAGAGUUAGAUAUGGAACUGCCUGAAGUGAAGGAGUAUAAACCGAGAAAGCUUCUUGGUGAUGAAGUUAUAGAACAAGAGGUUUAUGGAAUCGAUCCUUAUACACAUAAUCUUUUACUUGACUCGAUGCCCAAGGAAUUGGAUUGGUCACUGCAGGAUAAACAUUCAUUUAUAGAAGAUGUAGUACUAUGUUCCCUGAACAAGCAAGUAAGGCAUCUCACUGGAUCUGGGAGCACUCCGAUGGUUUACCCUUUAAAGCCUGUGAUCGAAGACAUAAAAGAGAAUGCUCGUGAAGAGUGUGAUAUACAGACAAUGAGGAUGUGCCAUGCCAUCUUGAAGGCAAUAGAAAAUCGUCCUGAUGAUAAAUAUGUCGCUUAUCGAAAGGGCCUUGGUGUUGUCUGCAACAAACAAGGUGGCUUUGGAGAAGAAGAUUUUGUUGUAGAGUUCCUUGGAGAGGUUUAUCCUGUUUGGAAAUGGUUCGAGAAGCAAGACGGGAUCCGUUCCUUGCAAGAAAACAAAACAGACCCUGCUCCAGAGUUCUACAAUAUAUAUCUUGAGAGGCCAAAGGGUGAUGCCGAUGGUUAUGAUUUAGUUGUCGUUGAUGCCAUGCACAAGGCAAACUAUGCUAGCCGAAUAUGUCACUCGUGCCGACCUAACUGUGAAGCUAAGGUUACAGCAGUGGACGGGCACUACCAGAUUGGUAUAUAUUCUGUGCGCACAAUUCAAUAUGGCGAGGAGAUAACAUUUGAUUAUAAUUCUGUAACGGAGAGUAAGGAAGAGUACGAGGCAUCUGUUUGCUUGUGCGGUAGCCAAGUAUGCCGAGGCAGCUACUUAAAUCUUACUGGCGAAGGGGCGUUUCAAAAGGUUUUGAAGGAAUGGCAUGGUGUGCUAGAUCGGCAUCAACUUAUGCUGCAAGCUUGCAUGCUGAAUUCAGUUUCAGAAGAAGAUUAUCUCGAGUUGGGAAGAGCUGGUCUCGGAAGUUGUUUACUUGGUGGGUUGCCGGAUUGGGUGGUCGCUUAUUCUGCUCGUCUCGUGAGAUUCAUCAAUUUCGAGAGGACGAAGCUUCCCGAGGAAAUUCUAAAGCACAAUCUUGAAGAGAAAAGGAAAUACUUCUCAGAUAUAUGUCUCGACGUUGAGAAAAGCGAUGCCGAGGUUCAGGCCGAGGGUGUGUACAAUCAGAGGCUUCAGAAUCUGGCUGUCACGCUCGACAAGGUAAGAUAUGUUAUGAGAUGUGUGUAUGGGGACCCGAAGAACGCGCCUCCUCCAUUGGAGAGGCUCACUCCCGAGGAAGCCAGCCUCUUUUUAUGGAGCGGGGAGGGCUCCUUAGUCGAUGAGCUUCUUCAAUGUAUGUCAUCUCAAGUAGAGGAAGAUGCCCUAAACGAUCUGAGAUCCAAGAUUCGUGCCCACGAUCCAUCUGGAUCCACUAAUAUCCUCGAGGAGCUCCAUAGAUCAUUACUAUGGUUGAGAGACGAGAUCCGCAAUCUCCCAUGUACAUACAAGUGUCGGAACGACGCUGCAGCUGAUUUAAUUCACAUAUAUGCUUAUACAAAGUGUUUUUUCCGGGUUCGGGAAUACAAGUCCUUCACUUCACCUCCCGUACAUAUUAGUCCACUAGAUUUGGGACCAAAGUAUGCUAACAAGUUAGGUGCGAGCAUAAAGGAGUACUGUAAGACAUAUAGGGAGAACUAUUGUCUAGGGCAGCUGAUUUUUUGGUAUAACCAGACAAAUACUGAUCCAGAUCUCACUUUGGUUAGAGCAACCAGAGGUUGCUUGUCCUUACCCGACGUUGCGUCUUUCUAUGCCGACAAGGUUCAAAUGCCGUCGAAACAUCGUGUUUAUGGCCCAAAGACCGUGAAAUCAAUGGUUUCUCUGAUGUGGAAGCAGCCUCAGAGAGCGUGGCCAAAAGACAAGAUAUGGACGUUCAAGAGCGAGCCGAAAGUAUUCGGCAGCCCGAUGUUUGACGCCGUAGUGAAUAACUCGUCGUUAGAUAGAGAAAUGUUGCAGUGGCUAAGGCACAGACCGGCUGCCUUCCAGGCGAUGUGGGAUCGUUAAGCAGGAAGAAGGCGGCGACCGCCUCGUGCCAGAGGAUUUUUCGGCUGCCUCUCUUGCCGACAAUUCCCCGAAAUCGUCUCUAAAUUCGUCUCUGCCGCUGCCACCAUUCUUGUGUAUAGAUCAGGGUCCGAGUUGGCUUCCGCAUCCGCCAGGUAUUCAAAGGACGAAGGUUUCUUCUUCUACGUCUUCGUCUCGUCGCCGUCUUGUUCGCUGUGCCACUUGACCUCCCUGAGGAUCUCCUGGGCAUCACGGCGGAAUCUUCGCGGGAGAUGACCGGACGAAUCGGUUGGAUAAUGAAACCAGAGACAGUGGGAGAAGAAGGCGUAUCCACGAUGUCGGGAUCGGACAGCGCGGGCAGGGGAGAGUGGUUCAGCUCCUCCGUCCAUGACAUUGUUAACGGAGUCGCCCAUCGCAUCUUCAGAAGAGACAGGUGAAGGGUUCCGGAGGUGAUGCCGCUUCAAACGAGCCAUUAUUGUCGAGUGACCGAGAAGGAAUUAGGGUUUCAGUGUGGAGGGAAAACGUAAAUGCUGAAGGAGACGAAAUGCCGAAGGAAAUCAUUCCAUUGACCAAAAUGCCCUUACGCGCCCCAUGACACGAUCUGGGCUUCGUAUUUCAAAGGGUAAGCCCAAAUUCUCAUAAUGGGCUUUGUUUCAUAUAUAUAUAUAUUAAUCUUCCAAUUAAAUUCCACGUGGCGGGUAACCAUAGCCUGUGGGGGCUGCAUCCUCACUGAUUAUUGCUUUAAUCUUACUCUUAAUUACUGAUUAUUGUAAUAACCAUUUCUACCUUCUCCCAUUAAUAUUCUUAAUUUUCACUAUCGUAACUUUUGA